ACUGAGUGUCUGCCACAUGUACAGAGCCCACAAGCUGCCAUGAGCUAUUUCUACAUGUAACUAGGUGACUACGCCUUGCAGCUUCCCCUACGUUAUAGGCUUUUUAACUUCAUUAUGUGAUCAGGCAUGUUGCCAACUUUGAAGGCCAUUCCACGCAUCUGAGUGAUUUGGCUUGCCGUCCAGGUGAUUUAAGUGCCAAUCUUGAUAAAGGUCCGCAUAAGGACCGAAACGUCGAUGAAAUACGGCAUCAACAGUGAACCCGAAUAAAAAUAUACUGAAUUUACU